GACUGUUGGGACCGCCGUCUGCUAAAGAGGAGGAAGGAAUGGGCAACGGUAGGUCAGCAUGCCCCGAAUUAUCUGGGCUACACGCGGGCUACAAUGGGUGGGACAAUGGGUAUCGACACCGAAAGGUGAAGGCAAUCUCCUAAACCCAUCCGUAGUUCGGAUUGUGGGCUGCAACUCGCCCACAUGAAGCUGGAAUCUGUAGUAAUCGUGUCUCAAAAUGGCACGGUGAAUAUGUCCCUGCUCCUU
rnacentral:rRNA from 1 species